UGCCUCAUCCGUAGUCAGUUGUCCCUUGUCUGCCUACAUUUUCUGGAAAAACUGGAUACCACCCUCAGACGUAAAGCGCUGUUCUGAAUCUCUCCUCUGCGCCCACCAAGCCGAGCUCAGUGCUCCGGCUCCUCUCUCCCCAGGCCCUGCUUGGAGGCCGCUGCCAUCCGUGGUCCUGAGGCCAGCGAUGCGCGCGUGGGGAAGCCGUCCCGAGGGAGAAACAACCUUUAAUCACGUGACCGUGUGCCAUCUUAGGUGUCACCUCGAAGAGCCAAGACCCCACUACUGUAAGAGAACAUACACUUCUUUCCAAGUUCCUUGAAAAUAUUCUUGGAUUUCCCUGGUGGCACAGUGGUUAAGAAUCUGCCUGCCAAUUCAGGGGACAUGGGUUAGAGCCCUUGUCUGGGAAGAUCCCACAUGCCACGGAGCAACUAAGCCCGUGUGCCACAACUACUGAGCCUGCACUCUAGCGCCCACGAGCCACAACUACUGAACCCGUGUGCCACAACUACCGAAGCCUACGAGCCUAGAGCCCAUGCUCUGCAACAAAAGAAGCCACUGCAAUGAGAAGCCUGCACACUGCAACAAAAAGUAUCCCCUGCUUGCUGCACCUAGAGAAAGCCUGUGCACAGCAAUGA